rnacentral:rRNA from 1 species
GAUGAACGCUGGCGGCGUGCCUAAUACAUGCAAGUCGAGCGAACAGACGAGGAGCUUGCUCCUCUGACGUUAGCGGCGGACGGGUGAGUAACACGUGGAUAACCUACCUAUAAGACUGGGAUAACUUCGGGAAACCGGAGCUAAUACCGGAUAAUAUAUUGAACCGCAUGGUUCAAUAGUGAAAGACGGUUUUGCUGUCACUUAUAGAUGGAUCCGCGCCGCAUUAGCUAGUAGGUAAGGUAACGGCUUACCAAGGCAACGAUGCGUAGCCGACCUGAGAGGGUGAUCGGCCACACUGGAACUGAGACACGGUCCAGACUCCUACGGGAGGCAGCAGUAGGGAAUCUUCCGCAAUGGGCGAAAGCCUGACGGAGCAACGCCGCGUGAGUGAUGAAGGUCUUCGGAUCGUAAAACUCUGUUAUUAGGGAAGAACAAAUGUGUAAGUAACUAUGCACGUCUUGACGGUACCUAAUCAGAAAGCCACGGCUAACUACGUG